AGAGAUCAUGGCUCAGAAUCAACGCUGGCGGCGUGCCUAACACAUGCAAGUCGAACGCGAAAGGGGAGCAAUCCCUGAGUAGAGUGGCAAACGGGUGAGUAACACGUGGGUGACCUGCCUUCGAGUGGGGGAUAACGUUCCGAAAGGAACGCUAAUACCGCAUGACAUCCUGCUUCUGGAAAAGCGGAGAUCAAAGCUGGGGAUUCGCAAGAACCUAGCGCUUGAAGAGGGGCCCGCGCCUGAUUAGCUAGUUGGUGAGGUAACGGCUCACCAAGGCUACGAUCAGUAUCCGGCCUGAGAGGGCGGACGGACACACUGGGACUGAGACACGGCCCAGACUCCUACGGGAGGCAGCAGUGGGGAAUUGUUCGCAAUGGGCGCAAGCCUGACGACGCAACGCCGCGUGGAGGAUGAAGAUUUUCGGAUCGUAAACUCCUGUCGAGUGGGAAGAAUAGCUUUCGGGCGAAUAUCCCGAGAGUCUGACGGUACCACUAAAGGAAGCCCCGGCUAACUCCGUGCCAGCAGCCGCGGUAAUACGGGGGGGGCAAGCGUUGUUCGGAAUUACUGGGCGUAAAGGGCUCGUAGGCGGCCCACUAAGUCAGAUGUGAAAUCCCCAGGCUCAACCUGGGAACUGCAUCUGAUACUGGUGGGCUUGAAUUCGGGAGAGGGAUGCAGAAUUCCAGGUGUAGCGGUGAAAUGCGUAGAUAUCUGGAGGAAUACCGGUGGCGAAGGCGGCAUCCUGGACCGACAUUGACGCUGAGGAGCGAAAGCUAGGGGAGCAAACGGGAUUAGAUACCCCGGUAGUCCUAGCCCUAAACGAUGAAUGCUUGGUGUAACGGGUAUCGAUCCCUGUUGUGCCGAAGCUAACGCAUUAAGCAUUCCGCCUGGGGAGUACGG
rnacentral:rRNA from 1 species